GAUCCUGGCUCAGGAUGAACGCUAGCUACAGGCUUAACACAUGCAAGUCGAGGGGCAGCAUGACCUAGCAAUAGGUUGAUGGCGACCGGCGCACGGGUGAGUAACACGUAUCCAACCUACCGGUUAUUCCGGGAUAGCCUUUCGAAAGAAAGAUUAAUACCGGAUAGUAUAACGAGAAGGCAUCUUUUUGUUAUUAAAGAAUUUCGAUAACCGAUGGGGAUGCGUUCCAUUAGUUUGUUGGCGGGGUAACGCCACCAG
rnacentral:rRNA from 1 species